UCUCCUCACUGUUUUUAUUCUAUGUAUGAAAAUUUCGAUUAUAGGAGCAGUUGAUGCAUGUGUUAAAAUCUCAGCAUGUUCUUGCCAAAAUUCUGAGGGUACUAUAGAUUUAACUCCACUUUCCGGAAGUCCGAAGUUUAAAGAUAUACAAGAUGACGCUGGAAGUUAUUAUUUUUCUUAUAAUCCAUGUCAGGAAUUCACUGAAAGUGGAUGUACAUCUGUUUCUGGAUGUCAAACCGAUAUGACCAAUUAUUAUAGUAUAGGAACUCAAGAUAGCGCAGCGUUUAAAGUAGAUGCCACCAAUGGACUAUAUAUUGAAUAUGAUGCCACAACAGAUGUUAAAAGAACAUUACAGGUCUAUUUAAAAUGUGACACAACAGAAGAGGGCCAACUUGAUGUUAAAGGAGAAUUUCCCGCUGGCAGCGCUAUAUAUGAGAUGAAUUUAACAAGUAAAUACUGCUGCCCGACUCCUGGCCCGUCUCCAGUCCCGACUCCAGCCCCGACUCCAGUCCCGACUCCAGCCCCGACUCCAGUCCCGACUCCAGUCCCGUGUAAACACAGCCACAGAGAGUGGAUUAUUAUCAUAAUACUUUCAUGUAUAAUGUUAUCAUUGUUGGUGUUGAUAAUAUUAUCAUCGAUUAUCAUCUGUCUACAAAUAAGGAAUAACAGAAACACAUCAUUUACAAAAACAUUUCCUAAUCCAAAAGUUUCUGAAAAUAAAUCAUACGGGACUCUUAAUUAAGCAAAACCCAGCACUGUUUUAAUGAAUAGGAUAUUUACUAAAUAGAAAUCAGACGAGAUCAUAUAGUGUGCAAUAAUGCCGACUGAAGCUUUGAUUUAUAAUAUUUAUUUAACUUUUCUUGUCAGAUGGGAUAUUUUUUCAUUCAUAACCCUACUUCGAUCAGCCCUCUACUAUAUAUUAAGAUAUAUUGUUGAUUAUGACUUUAAUGCAGUUUCGUCAUUAUCGACAUAUCUCCUAUAAGCACUUUCUCUCAGACGUUGGAUUUAUGAAGUUUUAUUAGUUAAUUAUGUUACAGGCACUAUACAUGAUUAUCAUUGUUUAAUAAAAUAUCAUUAUUAUAUAAGUUCAACUUUUAAU